UUUGCUUUUAAGAGCCAUCGUUAUUUUUCGGAGAUCGUAAAUGAACCUCAAGAAGGUGAGGUUGAAGACCGGAGCCCAUCUGUGUGUAGACGGAACUACUGCGCUCAGCUCAAGGGCAGUCAAGAUUUAAAUGAUGCGUCAGCCCUGGCCGGAGAAGCCGUUUCUGCAGUGGAUAGCAACGCACAAGUGCGGAGAAUAUGUGGUGCUGGGUGCUCAGCCGUACAAUGAAUGAGGACACCAACCUCUUCUCUAA